AUUUAUCAUACGUAGUCAUUUCAUCUACAUCUUGUCUUGGGAAAAAGUUUUACCAUUUCUGAAAGAAAGGUUGUCAUUGUGAUAUUUUUAAAGCUCAGUAUUCAAUGGUUGCUUUUUAAUAAUUGAAAUAAAUAUGUUUCGCGGUUUUGUAAGCUUCCUUAUUGGCGUUUAUGCUGGAAUCUACAUCUCCCAAAAUUAUGAAAUACCUCGAAUAGAUGACCCAGCAGUUAUGCUACAAAAACUAAAGGAUCUAGCAGAUAAACA